CAUGUUAAUUUAUCAUCUCUCACAUCUACAUUCAAUGCAUACCUAUGGGUUUCUUCAUCUUUAUAGUUGAAUGUAGCAUCCUGUGCAACUGUUGAUAUGGCGGCUUUUGAAUGUGAAUAAGAUCCAGGAGUUAAAAUAACCUGGGUUUCAAAAGCUAAGAUUUUGUAUCUAGGUAUCGUUGCACCCAAGAUGGCACUGGAAAUGAGGUCAAGGACAAACUGAAUCUAGGAGAUGAAUCUUUGAGCCCCACUGAUGUCAGAAAUGAAGGUGGAGGGGCCUAAAAAUCACAAGUCACAGAAGCAGAAAUUUUUGGGAAUUAAUGGCAGCUAAGAAAAAGAAAGCAAAGUAUUUUAGUUGAAGAUAAUGGAAGUUACAUCAUAUUUUUGAAUGCUACCUUGAUCAAUCUUUCAAGUAUCUCCCAGUCAUUCAUGUUGCUGCUACUUGUGGCAAUAAAGUUCUUAAAGUUCUUCAUCUGGACAUCCAGAAAGCACCUGUCUCACUUUAGCUUACUGUUGGAAACAAACUUGUGAUCUGCUGAAUGUGUUUUGCCCAGUCAAGCUAUUUUGCUGUUAUGAGCAUUGACAUUUGUUUGCCACAUUUCAAUUGAAAAUAAAGUUCCUCUUUUGGAUAUGCAUAA